CGCCGAUGGAGGUAACCCCGCCGAUGAUUGAGCAGAAGUCAGCAGACGGCACAGUAGCCAAGCGCCCAUCGUAAUGGUUGGGACACGGUGAAGGCC
rnacentral:ncRNA from 3 species